rnacentral:rRNA from 1 species
AAUUUGGAGAGUUUGAUCCUGGCUCAGGACGAACGCUGGCGGCGUGCCUAAUACAUGCAAGUCGAGCGGAUCUUGUCCUUCGGGACAAGGUUAGCGGCGGACGGGUGAGU